CUUGCAUGCAAACGUUUCUCAACCCCACGAGCCAGCUGCGCAGCAGCAGCUCGUGUGCUGCAGAGCGGGAGGUGGAGAAAGUUGCUGGUGAAGGCAGCGUUUGAUGCUUCAAUACAGCCAAAGAGGGGAUCUUUUUUUAACUGGUGAAGCAUGUAUUUUGUGAGUGAAAGGGGCUGGCUGUUGUCUGAGCCAUGUGUAUCGCAGCCUCCAGCACUGGCAACCAGGAUGCUGCUGCGUCACUUGCAUUCUUCACCCCUACCGCCUUGUUGGGAAGGAGGAACCCUCCAAAACCAGCAGUAACGCUUUCCAGGCUCCUCGCAGCAGUGCCCAGGGUUGCUCGGUGCUGCUCUGCUCUGGCCCGAGGCACCUGGAGAGCAUGGGGGCUCGCUCUGCAGCGGGCGAUGGUGCCGGGCCUUACCGUGCCCAAUCUCUGCCAGCAGCCACCCGAAAAGGACUCGCUUCUUUUUCUCUGGCGCCUUUUCAGAUCUCGAGCAGAAAUAGCAUAACAAUUAUCGUAGUGUGAGAGAGCGGGGAGCUCUGCGGGAAGCAUUUGGGAAAUGUCUGCUGCGAACGGCUGCCAGCAAAGGCUCUGCCGAGCAGGAAGAGGGAUUGACUUAGAUACCAAAAUUUGUGUGUCAGUGUGAGAAAGUGCACAUCUCAUCCUUCCUGGGUCUCUUCCUAGCAAGCGUGUCCCUCCCAGAGCUUUCCUGGAGGACCCGGGGAUGCAGCGUGGGGCUGGAGGGGAGGCGGCGGUGCUGGGGCUGGUUAGCUUCUGUGCCUUGCUGCUGAAUGGCCUUGCCAGUUCCUGUGUUUUAUUAUUUCUGUCAUCUCUCAGAAGAUGCUUCACUGCCAGCG